GGAAUCUUCCACAAUGGACGAAACUCUGAUGCAGCCAUGCCGCGUGAGUGAAGAAGGCCUUAGGGUUGUAAAGCUCUUUCAAUCGUGAAGAUAAUGACGGUAGCGAUAGAAGAAGCCCCGGCUAAAUUCGUGCCAGCAGCCGCGGUAAUACGAAUGGGGCAAGCGUUGUUCGGAAUCACUGGGCUUAAAGCGUGCGCAGGCGGAUAUGCAAGUCAGAAGUGAAAUCCCAGGGCUCAACCCUGGAAUUGCUUUUGAAACUGCAUGUCUAGAAUCCCGGAGAGGUUAGGAGAAUUCCGAGUGUAGAGGUGAAAUUCGCAGAUAUUCGGAGGAAUACCAGUGGCGUAGGCGCCUAACUGGACGGGCAUUGACGCUCAGGCACGAAAGCGUGGGUAGCAA
rnacentral:rRNA from 1 species